GACGAACGCUGGCGGCGUGCUUAACACAUGCAAGUCGAGCGGUAAGGCCCUUUCGGGGGUACACGAGCGGCGAACGGGUGAGUAACACGUGGGUGACCUGCCCUCAGCUCUGGGAUAAACCUGGGGAAACCGGGUCUAAUACUGGAUAUGACUCCAUGACGCAUGUUGUGGGGUGGAAAGCCUUGUGCGGCUGAGGAUGGGCCCGCGGCCUAUCAGCUUGUUGGUGGGGUGAUGGCCUACCAAGGCGACGACGGGUAGCCGGCCUCGAGAGGGCGACCGG
rnacentral:rRNA from 1 species